UUAAUUGGCCAAUACGUCCAAUUCAACUCCAAAUAAUUCCAUUUUUCUUCCAAUUCUCCGAACCAUCAAACACAAAUUAAAUAACUUGAAAUAUGGCAAAAUCAUCCUCACAUUUUCUCUUGGAAAAUUCGGCCAUGGUGGGUGCAUCAACACUAUAAUUUUUCAAGCUUGAUUGUCACACCAUAAGUCACUAAUUGCUAACCAAAUCACUUGAAAUAAAAUCAAAAUCAUCAUCCACACUCUACAUGGAAAAUUCGGCCAAUGAUGGGUAAUGGGAGAACAUGAAUUUUUCUUGCUUGACUUUCAUGCUACACAUCACCAAUCAACUAAAAACACUAAAAUAGCUUAAAAUCUAACCAAAGCAACCAUCAAAAUCUCUCUCUAAGUGUUCGGCCAACAAGAGACCCAUCAUGAAAUCAUGUGAUUCAACCAUGGAAAAUAAGAAAAAAAUGCUUAAGAAAG
rnacentral:lncRNA from 1 species